CCAGGUGAAUACGGAAUAUUCCAAAACAUUCCACUGGCUUAUGGACCUCCAAGGAAAACUAUGACCAGGUGGUGACGUAACAUGAGGAAUCCGAGAUGGGGGAAACUCAGUUAGGGUGCUCAUUUUAGCCUGGGGAGCACAAUAAAGGUGUUCACCCUUUUCGGGGUUGGAAUAUAUUCAAGUGACAGAUGUCACACUGUUCCUGGGAGUUCUGACUGCUUUCAUCUUAUGGACCUAUUACCAAGACCACCUGCUCCCUCUCCUUACGGAAAUGCCUCGGAAGUCUUACAGUUGGGAGAUGCAGGAAGUCCACUCCACACCUUUGCCAGUACCUGUAAGCAGAAGGAAAACACAGAGUCAGAAAGCACUGGACUCCUUAGAGCUCUCCCAGAUGCAUCCCUUAAGGGACAGGCUUUCCCCAGCCUGGGCACAGAGGAGCCUCAAGUCAAGCACAAUGUAAGGAUUCCCGGCCACGGUCGCCAGGUGCAGGGAAGAACAAUUCGUCAUCAAGUAAAUUGCAGGCGUGGUGUUCUGAGUUCCGAUGGAUAA
rnacentral:lncRNA from 1 species